UAGGAAACUUUGGUCAAAGACAUGAAUUC
rnacentral:piRNA from 1 species